GCAACUCGCCUGCAUGAAGUUGGAAUUGCUAGUAAUCGCGAAUCAGAAUGUCGCGGUGAGUACGUUCCCGGGCCUUGUACACACCGCCCGUCACACCAUGAGAGUCGAUAACACCCGAAGCCUGUGAGCUAACCGCAAGGAGGCAGCAGUCGAAGGUGGGGUUGAUGAUUGGGGUGAAGUCGUAACAAGGUAUC
rnacentral:rRNA from 1 species